rnacentral:lncRNA from 1 species
UGGUACUGAUUGAAGUACUUUCUUAUGAGGUGGAGUUCUUUUUUAAAAGCUAGGUCCUUUUCUCGGUAAUAAAGGUAGAGUAAUAUUUUGGUAUGAUUAUCACAUUAAAAUAUUUUCCUAAACAGCUAAAUUAGAUUUAUAAAGCCAUUCAAGUUUCAAUCUAAAUCCAAUCUAAUUUUGGUAUUAAAGUCACCAAAAGGAGCUGGAAAAAAUCUCCACCAGACAAAUGUGUGAUCCUUAUCCAACUCCCA